GACAGAGGAGCCAAGCGUUGUCCGGAGUAACUGGGCGUAAAGGGCGUGUAGGUGGUUUUGUAAGUCUGGCGUGAAAUUUUUCGGCUUAACCGGGAAAGGUCGUCGGAUACUGCAGGACUAGAGGACGGUAGAGGCGUGUGGAAUUCCGGGUGUAGUGGUGAAAUGCGCAGAUAUCGGGAGGAACACCGGUGGCGAAGGCGGUUCUCUGGGCCUUACCUGACACUGAGGAGCGAAAGCGUGGGGAGCGAACAGG
rnacentral:rRNA from 1 species